rnacentral:rRNA from 1 species
UUAUUUGAGAGUUUGAUCCUGGCUCAGGAUGAACGCUGGCGGCGUGCCUAACACAUGCAAGUUGAGCGAUUUACUUCGGUAAAGAGCGGCGGACGGGUGAGUAACGCGUGGGUAACCUACCCUGUACACACGGAUAACAUAUCGAAAGGUAUGCUAAUACGGGAUAAUAUAUUUGAGAGGCAUCUCUUGA